CCCGCCGAUAUGAGAGAACGGAAGGCGGGAGCUGAGAUCUUGCAUUCAUGGCGGCCACCUCCGAGAAAACCCUAGCUUCUUUUCCCCUUCCCCCAAUCCCCAAGCCACCAAAGUGAUGCCUUUCAUUCCUAAUCUCAAUCAAGAGGAUUUCAGAUGCAUGCAAGUGGCAGAGGAAACAGAGGGAGAUGACAAGGAAUCUGAUUUGUUUAGAAAGGAUUAAUAAAUGGCGCUCAGAGCACAAGAACAAGCAAUUGCAUCUUGAGAUAAUUCUAAGGCGAAAAUUUGUGGAGACCGAGACUACUAUUAGGCGCAGUCUCGAGUUCAUGGAGGCGAGGGGUCAGAGAGAGAGGGUUGGCACGAAUGUCGAGGAGGCACCUGAUCGCAUCACGGGCUAGGCUUUUUUCCAUUUGGUGGGGCCGGAGGAUACCCGCUCAUCCUCUGUUGGUGUGUUUUUAUUUUCCCUCUUAUCACUUCUUGUGGUACGAGUGGGGUUUUGUAUCAAGGUUAGUCUUGUAUUUUUGUUUUUAUUAAUCGAACUGG